AGCAGUCGCCACGGGAAUACGUAGGGUGCAAGCGUUAAUCGGAAUUACUGGGCGUAAAGCGUGCGCAGGCGGUUUGUUAAGACAGAUGUGAAAUCCCCGGGCUCAACCUGGGAACUGCAUUUGUGACUGGCAAGCUAGAGUGUGGCAGAGGGGGGUGGAAUUCCGCGUGCAGCAGUGAAAUGCGUAGAUAUGCGGAGGAACACCGAUGGCGAAGGCAGCCCCCUGGGCCAACACUGACGCUCAUGCACGAAAGCGUGGGGAGCAAACAGGAUUAGAUACCCGCGUAGUCCCUGUCUCUUAUAC
rnacentral:rRNA from 1 species